CCUACGGGGGGCUGCAGUGGGGAAUAUUGGGCAAUGGAGGCAACUCUGACCCAGCAACGCCGCGUGAAUGAUGAAGGUCUUCGGAUUGUAAAGUUCUUUUCUUAGGGAAGUAGAAAGUUACGGUACCUUAUGUAUAAGCCUCGGCUAACUACGUGCCAGCAGCCGCGGUAAUACGUAGGAGGCAAGCGUUAUCCGGAAUGACUGGGCGUAAAGGGUGCGUAGGUGGGUUGACAAGUUAGUAGCGCAACUCCGGGGCUCAACUUCGUAACUACUACUAAAACUGUUUGACGUGAGUGCAGGAGGGGCAAUCGGAAUUCCUAGUGUAGCGGUGGAAUGCGUAGAUAUUAGGAGGAACACCAGUGGCGAAGGCGGAUUGCUAGACUGUAACUGACACUGAGGCACGAAAGCGUGGGGAGCAAACAGGAUUAGAUACCCCGGUAGUC
rnacentral:rRNA from 1 species